GUGAGUACGCAGUGGUAGUAUCAUAACUAAUGAGGUUAAUCCGAGGUGUGAUUAUUGCUAUUUGAAAACUUUUCCCUUUUCCUCACCUUCCCCCACCCCACCCCAGCAUACUUCAGGUGAUGCCUGUGAUGCAGUGCAGUGC
ensembl:snRNA U4 U4 spliceosomal RNA